UACGUAGGGAGCAAGCGUUGUCCGGAUUCAUUGGGCGUAAAGGGUGCGUAGGCGGCGCGGUAAGUCGGGUGUGAAAUCUCGGAGCUUAACUCCGAAACUGCAUUCGAUACUGCCGUGCUUGAGGACUGGAGAGGAGACUGGAAUUUACGGUGUAGCGGUGAAAUGCGUAGAUAUCGUAAGGAAGACCAGUGGCGAAGGCGGGUCUCUGGACAGUUCCUGACGCUGAGGCACGAAGGUCAGGGGAGCAAACGGG
rnacentral:rRNA from 1 species